AAGGAAGGAUAGAAAUCAAUAAGUGCUGCUAAUACUUAUGACCCGAGGUUAAACUCCUCGGCUUCUUUA
rnacentral:tRNA from 1 species